AGACCUGUGGGCAUGGACUUCCACCCCACACCCUGACCUGCCCUGCUCAGCACAGCCAGCUGCCCCUGCUACACAAAAUCACCACAGAGGGGAAAGGACUGCAUCAACUGAGCAUACCCAGGGGCUGCAGGGGGCCUACUGAACCCACAGGCACACUGGCAUCAGAACGGUGACAUGACUGAUGUCACCAAAAACCCUCCAAACAGAGAAAAGGGAGGAGCCAAGUGCCUGCUCUCAGCCCAGGAGACCAGCACCCUGAGUGCAAAGAUGUUUAGACCUGUCCUUCCUGACCUUGCCUGGGGACCCAGGCUCCUCUCCUACAUCGUCCUUUGUCUCCUGGGAGCAGGACUCAAAGCCGCAAGAUUCUGCAUUGGUCCUAAAAUGGGCACCAAGCUUUUCCUCUGUGUGGCCUGCUGUCUCCUGUGGGCAGGACACUUGGAGGCUGAAAUCACCCAGAGCCCAAGACACAUCAUCACAGAGACAGGAGAAAAGGUGACUUUGCGCUGCCACCAGACCUACAACUAUGAAUACAUGUACUGGUAUCGCCAAGACCCAGGGCAAGGGCUGCAGCUGAUCCAUUACUCAUAUGGUGUUGGCAACACUGCCAAAGGAGACGUGUCUGACGGGUACAGUGUCUCCAGAUCAAACAAAACAGACUUCCCCCUCACUCUGGAGUCGGCCACCCGCUCCCAGACAGCUGUGUACUUCUGUGCCACCAGUGACAACACAGUGCUACAGGGUCACCUCCUCUCUGCACAUAAAGUAUAAAUAGGAAGACCAGGA